UACGUAGGGUGCAAGCGUUAUCCGGAAUUAUUGGGCGUAAAGAGCUCGUAGGCGGUUUGUCGCGUCUGCCGUGAAAGUCCGGGGCUCAACUCCGGAUCUGCGGUGGGUACGGGCAGACUAGAGUGAUGUAGGGGAGACUGGAAUUCCUGGUGUAGCGGUGAAAUGCGCAGAUAUCAGGAGGAACACCGAUGGCGAAGGCAGGUCUCUGGGCAGUAACUGACGCUGAGGAGCGAAAGCAUGGGGAGCGAACAGG
rnacentral:rRNA from 1 species